GACGAACGCUGGCGGCGUGCUUAACACAUGCAAGUCGAACGGAAAGGCCCUGCUUUUGUGGGGUGCUCGAGUGGCGAACGGGUGAGUAACACGUGAGUAACCUGCCCUUGACUUUGGGAUAACUUCAGGAAACUGGGGCUAAUACCGGAUAGGAGCUCCUGCUGCAUGGUGGGUGUUGGAACGUUUCGGCGGUUGGGGAUGGACUCGCGGCUUAUCAGCUUGUUGGUGGGGUAGUGGCUUACCAAGGCUUUGACGGGUAGCCGGCCUGAGAGGGUGACCGGCCACAUUGGGACUGAGAUACGGCCCAGACUCCUACGGGAGGCAGCAGUGGGGAAUAUUGCACAAUGGGCGGAAGCCUGAUGCAGCAACGCCGCGUGCGGGAUGACGGCCUUCGGGUUGUAAACCGCUUUCGCCUGUGACGAAGCGUGAGUGACGGUAAUGGGUAAAGAAGCACCGGCUAACUACGUG
rnacentral:rRNA from 1 species